rnacentral:misc_RNA from 1 species
CCCCCCACCCGCAUUAUUAUUCGUUCAGUUUACAACAGGCACAGACGUGUAGUGCGGAAUCGGCGCGUAGGUACAUAAGUUACGAUUUUGUGUUUUUUUGUGCAAGAGAAAAACAUUAUCUUUGGAGUGUAAACUUAACAUUAUUAAAGACUACGAUGCAAAAAUAAAAAUUUGUGAUUUAGCGAAGACGUAUGAUCUACCGGAAUCGACAGUCAGAUCAAUUACGAAAAGUACCCCGCAAAACUGUACCCCGACUUACGCGGAUAGCACUCAGUCCCACCUAUCGCGUAAGUCC